rnacentral:rRNA from 1 species
GACGGAGGAUGCAAGUGUUAUCCGGAAUCACUGGGCGUAAAGCGUCUGUAGGUGGUUUAAAAAGUCCACUGUUAAAGAUUGAAGCUUAACUUCAAAAAUGCCGUGGAAACUUUUAAACUUGAGUAUGAUAAGGGGUUAGAGGGAAUUUCCAGUGGAGCGGUGAAAUGCGUAGAUAUUGGAAAGACCACCAAUGGCGAAGGCACUCUACUGGGCCAUUACUGACACUGAGAGACGAAAGCUAGGGGAGCAAAUGGG